rnacentral:rRNA from 1 species
UACAGAGGGGGCAAGCGUUGUUCGGAAUUACUGGGCGUAAAGGGCGCGUAGGCGGCCUUCUAAGUCGAACGUGAAAUCCCUGGGCUCAACCCAGGAACUGCGUCCGAUACUGAAAGGCUUGAAUCCGGGAGAGGGAUGCGGAAUUCCAGGUGUAGCGGUGAAAUGCGUAGAUAUCAGGAGGAACACCGGUGGCGAAGGCGCCACUCUGGGCCGGUACUGACGCUGAGGAGCGAAAGCGUGGGGAGCGAACAGG